rnacentral:rRNA from 1 species
GGAGGGGGCACCUGAUCCAGCCAUUCCGCGUGAGUGAAGAAGGCCUUCGGGUUGUAAAGCUCUUUCGCAAGGGAAGAAACGAUACAGUCUAAUAAACUGUGUUAAUGACGGUACCUUGAUAAGAAGCACCGGCUAACUACGUGCCAGCAGACGCGGUAAUACGUAGGGUGCGAGCGUUAAUCGGAAUUACUGGGCGUAAAGCGUGCGCAGGCGGUUUUGAAAGUCAGAUGUGAAAUCCUCGGGCUCAACCUGGGAACUGCGUUUGAAACUCCAAAGCUAGAGUAUGGGAGAGGGGGGUAGAAUUCCACGUGUAGCAGUGAAAUGCGUAGAGAUGUGGAGGAAUACCAAUGGCGAAGGCAGCCCCCUGGCUUAAUACUGACGCUCAUGCACGAAAGCGUGGGGAGCAAACAGGAUUAGAUACCCUGGUAGUCCACGCCCUAAACGAUGUCUACUAGCCGUUGGGGCCUUUGAGGCUUUAGUGGCGCAGCUAACGCGAUAAGUAGACCGCCUGGGGAGUACGGUCGCAAGACUAAAACUCAAAUGAAUUGACGGGGGCCCGCACAAGCGGUGGAGCAUGUGGUUUAAUUCGAUGCAACGCGAAGAACCUU